GAUGAAGAACGCAGCGAAAUGCGAUACGUAAUGUGAAUUGCAGAUUUCAGUGAAUCAUCGAAUCUUUGAACGCACAUUGCGCCCGCCAGUAUUCUGGCGGGCAUGCCUGUCUGAGCGUCAUUUCAACCCUCAUGCCCCUAGGGCGUGGUGUUGGGGAUCGGCCAAAGCCCGCGAGGGACGGCCGGCCCCUAAAUCUAGUGGCGGACCCGUCGUGGCCUCCUCUGCGAAGUAGUGAUAUUCCGCAUCGGAGAGCGAUGAGCCCCUGCCGUUAAACCCCCAACUUUCCAAGGUUGACCUCAGAUCAGGUAGGAAUACCCGCUGAACUUAAGCAUAUCAAUAAGCGGAGGA
rnacentral:misc_RNA from 1 species